AUGGGUUUUAGAGAUAUCCAUUGCUUUAAUCUUGCAUUAUUUGCUAAACAGGUCUGGCGGCUGAUUGACAAUCCUCAUUCUUUAUGUGCGGUCAUCCUCAAAGCAAAAUAUUUUCCCAAUGGAGACAUCAUGACUGCCACAUUAAAGAAGAAAGGUUCCUAUACAUGGCAAAGCAUUAUGGCUGGAGUUGAUACUUUGAGGAAAGGGUAUAUUUGGAGGAUUGGAGAUGGUGUUAAUGUUAAUAUAUGGGAUGAUCCGUGGAUAACUCGGUCCCCUUCAAGGAAAGUUGUAAUAGUACGUGGGAACAAUAUUAUCUCGCGUGUUUGUGACCUCAUUGACCCAUAUUCAGGUAACUGGGAUGAGUAACUAGUUAACUAGACUUUCUGGCCAAUUGAUGCUCAUAGGAUUCUUUCUAUUCCCUUACAAUUACAUGAGAUGACCAAUUUUGUGGCCUGGAAUCCGUCAAGAAACGGAAUUUUCUCGAUGCGGCCUGCCAACCGCGAGGAGUGGGAGAGUCAAUUUGGUCAUAAAAUCCAGGCGAAUAAUUCUUCAUCGACUCCUAGGGACACAUGGGACUCGGUUUGGAGAUUGCAAUGCCCUGCUAAGAUUAAAAUAUUUAUUUGGAGAGCUCUUCAUAGUGCUAUACCAUGCCGUGCUAUCCUGGCAGCGACGCAUGUGAAGCUUAGACCCCACUGUCCAGCAUGCAAUCAAGGUCCCGAUAAUAUCAUGCAUAUGCUAUUUCAAUGUACGAAGGCAGUGGAAGUUUGGAAACUACUGGGAAUCUAUGAUGUCGGGAAGAAGGCAUGCCAAGUUGACCGCUCAGGAGAAGUGGUUCUGGAGCAUCUUAUGUGCCUCCCAGACCCGGAUGUGCACAUCCUUGGCCUAGCAAAUCUUAGAGAAACUAUUGCUACCACGACAUGGUACUUAUGGUGUGAGCGAAGAAAGCUUAUCCAUGGAGAUCAGACCCAGAAUGCUGCCCAAAUUCAGUUAGUUGUGAGGGCCCUUGCAGCAAACUUUGUGACCGCUUGUAAACCCAAGGCAAAGGUGUGA
rnacentral:rRNA from 1 species